GUGGAAAUGUUCUAAUAAGGAUACAGGGCUCAUGACCCUGUGGUGUGCUAAACUUUUAGUU
rnacentral:tRNA from 1 species